rnacentral:rRNA from 1 species
AUUGAACGCUGGCGGCAGGCUUAACACAUGCAAGUCGAGCGGUAACAGAGAGAAGCUUGCUUCUCUGCUGACGAGCGGCGGACGGGUGAGUAAUGCCUAGGAAUCUGCCUAGUAGUGGGGGAUAACUUGCCGAAAGGUAAGCUAAUACCGCAUACGUCCUACGGGAGAAAGGAGGGGACCUUCGGGCCUUUCGCUAUUAGAUGAGCCUAGGUCGGAUUAGUUAGUUGGUGAGGUAAUGGCUCACCAAGACCGCGAUCCGUAACUGGUCUGAGAGGAUGAUCAGUCACACUGGAACUGAGACACGGUCCAGACUCCUACGGGAGGCAGCAGUGGGGAAUAUUGGACAAUGGGGGGAACCCUGAUCCAGCCAUGCCGCGUGUGUGAAGAAGGUCUUAGGAUUGUAAAGCACUUUAAGUUGGGAGGAAGAACAGUUAACUAAUAUUUGACUGUUUUGACGUUACCGACUGAAUAAGCACCGGCUGACUUCGUGCCAGCCGCCGCAGUAA